rnacentral:rRNA from 1 species
AGCGGCGGAUGGGUGAGUAACACGUGGGGAACCUGCCCCUAAGUCUGGGAUACCAUUUGGAAACAGGUGCUAAUACCGGAUAAUAAAGCAGAUCGCAUGAUCAGCUUUUGAAAGGCGGCGUAAGCUGUCGCUAAGGGAUGGCCCCGCGGUGCAUUAGCUAGUUGGUAAGGUAACGGCUUACCAAGGCGACGAUGCAUAGCCGAGUUGAGAGACUGAUCGGCCACAUUGGGACUGAGACACGGCCCAAACUCCUACGGGAGGCAGCAGUAGGGAAUCUUCCACAAUGGACGCAAGUCUGAUGGAGCAACGCCGCGUGAGUGAAGAAGGUUUUCGGAUCGUAAAACUCUGUUGUUGGUGAAGAAGGAUAGAGGUAGUAACUGGCCUUUAUUUGACGGUAAUCAACCAGAAAGUCACGGCUAACUACGUGCCAGCAGCCGCGGUAAUACGUAGGUGGCAAGCGUUGUCCGGAUUUAUUGGGCGUAAAGCGAGCGCAGGCGGAAAAAUAAGUCUAAUGUGAAAGCCCUCGGCUUAACCGAAGAACUGCAUCGGAAACUGUUUUUCUUGAGUGCAGAAGAGGAGAGUGGAACUCCAUGUGUAGCGGUGGAAUGCGUAGAUAUAUGGAAGAACACCAGUGGCGAAAGGCGGCUCUCUGGUCUGCAACUGACGCUGAGGCUCGAAAGCAUGGGUAGCGAACAGGAUUAGAUACCCUGGUAGUCCAUGCCGUAACGAUGAGUGCUAAGUGU